rnacentral:lncRNA from 1 species
UUUCUUUCUUCUUCUCUCUAUACGUUGGUGUUCUAACCAAUAAUCACCGAUGCGAUGUUCUGUCCGAUCGAUUCAUGAACCAACUAACGGAUGCCAAAGUAUUGUAUUUUGUGAGUUCGUUAAAACGGAUGCCAAAAUGCUGUCUAAACAAGACUAUACUUUGUGAAUUUCGUUAAGGUUCGAAUCUCGUGACUACCGUUAAGGUUUGAUUUGGGUUAUACACAAAUACGUAUUCCAUUCUGUUAAACUAUAUGUUUAACUAUCAGAAUACUCCCAAAUUUAUAAUCAAACAAGCUGUUAAAUCAUCAGAAGAUCCAAAAUAAUAAAGUAUACGCUUAAUUAUCAGAAGGAGUAGAAUCAAGAAGCUUGUUAAAUCAAUACUGCAUGCUUAUAAAGUAAUUACAGUAGAUUGGAGUAUGCACUUCCAUUGUGCUGCAACAUAACCAAAAUAUAUUCUUUAACAGCUUGUUGUAGUAAACUGAUCAUCAUUUUCUCGUUUUUUAUUUCUUUUUCUCAUCCACACUAAGAUCUUUAAUAGCAAUCUCCUCUUCGUCAUCAUUCAUUGGUCUAACAUAUUUCGCCUCAACACAUUCCCAAGCAUCCAAGUAAUUUGCUUGCACCCAGUUUUCGAAACGUUCUUCCCAUACUUUAUACUCCUCGAUGUUCAUGAGCUUAGGUGGUUUUUGCAUAGUGCUUGUUUCAUUUUCCAACAUUGCUUGCUGAGUAAUGGUAAUCGGAGUAGCAAAGGCGUUAUAAAAUUCCUCUUCCAUGAUUCAAUUUUCAAAAUUUCACAAACUGUCAGUUCAAACGAAAUUAUCUUUCAAGCGAAAUAUCCCUUUGUGCGAAAUUCCCUUUCAAACGAAAUAGCUUUCUCAAACGAAAUUAUCAAACUGGUGCGAAAUCACUGAUUUCGUAUGAAAUAUCACAAUUUCAAACGAAAUAUCUAAUUCCGUGCGAAAUACUCAAACGAAAUUACAACUUGAAGUGAAAUUACUAAUUUCGUGUUGAACUUCCAAACGAAAUUACACUCUGAAGCGAAAUACGGUAAUUUCGUGCGAAAUUAAACCCUAAUUUCGUGCAAAAUAAUGCUGAUGUCAUCGUCUCGAGCUGAAUUUUGUCAAAUUGAUCAAGUUUUAAGCUGAUUUUAAGUCUGAAACUUUCAAGGGUUUGUUAAAACACUAUUGUGCACAUAAUGUGUGAAAUUCAAAGCAUUUUGACUGUGAAAAUUUGUUAAUUGUGAAAAAGAAGGUGUAGAAAUCAGAAUUUGCAGCUGAAUUGGUAUGAACUCUUCCUCCUGAGCUCUGAGACCACUUGUAGGAUCGUUUCAGACCCGAACGAGUCGAUCAGAAGAGUUUUUGCUCAAUACGAAAGGCAAAAACAGUCGCAUCAAGUUCAAUUCAGCUAGAUAUACACUUUAAACUGUCUUUUUAUUGAUUUGACAACGUUUUACAGCGAGACGACACUUCGGCAGCAGUUCGGUACUCAAGACGAAAAACUUACAAAUGAAACGAAAUCAAGGGUAUAUAUAGGCUGGGUAAUUUCGCACGGAAUUCCCCAAGCGAAAUCAAGUUUCAUGCGAAAUUAGAUUUCGUGCGGAAUUACCUCGUGAUUAAUUUCGUGCGAAAUUAACUCCUAACCUAUAUUUGACAUUUUUCUCGUACUACGUGCCCUGAUCUAUCUAAACAAAUACAGGACUCGAUACAAGACGAAGUCUACAGACGGAUGCACCAACAACAAGAACACUUGUUUUUGAAAGAUCCUUGUAUGUAAAGUGUAGAUCUAAAAGACUACACAUUUUUAGCAAAAAUCAAGUUUAUCAUAAGGUUUUAC